rnacentral:rRNA from 1 species
UACGUCCCUGCUCCUUGCAACACACCGCCCGUCGCUUCACCCGAGUUUGGCUUGGACGAGGUUAUCUCUUGUUCGGGUAAUCGAAUCCGAGUUAGGCAAGGGGGAG